GCCACAUCACGUCGAAACAUUGGUUCCCGUACGAUCACCGAAGUUAAGUAAUGUCGAGCCUGCUUAGUACCUAGAUGGGUGACCAGGUG